CCCCGCGCAUCUACUCUUCUCUAUUUCACUCCUAUCUCACCUCUAUCUGUGUUGAUCUUCUUCGCCUUUUAUUUUACCACCUACACCGGUCACGACAACCGUAGAAAACCCACCAUCUCACUCUCUCUUAAUCCAGAAAACAAAAACCAUGUCACUCAACAAAAUUGGUGUUUUUGGUUUAACAGUUGUUGAGGGCCGACACCACCAACACCGGUCACUACCAUCGCCUCCACUCCUACGAUGUCGUCAACAACAUCCAUGGAAGACACCACUACAUUCACCACCAUCGAACAACCACCACCCGAUCACUUCUUCCUGAUACUCUCCCAUCUGAACGUUAAAGUUUAACCAUCAAAUUUCUCUUAUUUUAUCUCUUAAUCGUUGAUUUAGGGUUUUGGUUGUGGCAACCUUCGACCUUCUCUGCGUUUAUCUCUAAACAAAGACUUCUGAUUGAUGUGUAUUCAGCAAUUUAUCAAGAAGCAAGAGGAAUCUAUGUCACGAACAAUGGAUCCAGAAGGAUUAAAAGAAAUCAGUCUCAAAGUAGGAGGUCUUUGAAUCUUUUUUUUGCUUCAGGUUUUGUUGGUUCCUCUGGUAAUAUGUUUCUCUUCAUUUGGCUACUGUUGAUGGGUUAGACCAUGCCAUUUGAAUAUCUUAAUUUUGAGGAUGUCGUUCAUGUUCAUCUAUGCAAUUGCUUGCCAUAAACCACUAAUGGAGGUUUGGGGAGUUUAUUUUUUUUCCCUUUCAUUAAACUUUGUUUCAUAGAAUAUAAGAAAGAGUGUUUCAAAUAUAUGUGCACAAUUUCACGUUAAAAGUUUGUUUCAAACUUCACUGACAUUUGGAGAUGUUUGUUAUAUGCAGGUGCUGUUACUUUUCGAAGAACUAACUUUUCUUAGAAAAGAGUUAUGAACUGUCUUUUAAGGUCUUCAGUAAAUACGCCUCAUCUUUCUUGGGCUAAGUCGAAAAAAAAAAGUGAUGGAGCAGUAGUUGAGGUUUUUACAGCUAUAUGGUAAUGGAAAUGCAUUAACUUUGGUUUAAUGGUUUUCAAGAAGUUGCUACCUCAGUUAUCAUAGGAGAAAGGGUGGGGAGAGGGAGUUAGUUUUAAAAAAGCAUGAUACGGUAACAUUCUAUGUAUUUGGAAAGAACAUGAAAGGAUUUUCAAUAUUGGUUGGUGGUAUUUACCUAAUGCAUUUAGUGAAACUGGUCAACCUUGGGACGUGUAUGUUGGUCGGAUCAAUCAUUUUUUAUUACCCUGAUUAAAGGAUUGCUCAUAAAACAGUAUCUUAAUGAUUGUCAUCACUUCUUAUAGUUUACUUCAUUUGGGUAUGUAUUGAAUUUAUGCUAUGAGGUGUUGCAACCUAUGAGUCAUGAUAUAUGUUGCUCUACUCCCUAUGCUUUACUCCUUUUUCAAUGUUACAUAGUUAUGUAUCUGUUAAGUCUUAAUAUGAUAAUUAUUCUUGUGAGUAUUAUGACAAA